ACCUGGGUGGCUUAGUCGGUUAAGCAUCUGACUCUCGAUUUCAGCUCAGAUCAUGGCCUCACGGGUCGUGAGUUCGAGCCCCGCCUCGGGCU
rnacentral:tRNA from 1 species